ensembl:lncRNA
AUGAAAGUAUAUGUGUGUGGGUUUUUUGUUUUCGUUUUUGUUGUAAAUCAGAUUGGAAAGAAUGUUCUAAGCUUAAAACAAUGGAAGCUCUCUCUCACAGGCUGGGUUCUGCAGGAGGCAGACACUGCAGUUGUCCUAGAAUGUGAAAGGCUUAUUGAGAUGGAGUUUCAUUAUGUUGGCCAGGCUGGUCUCAAACUCCCGACCUCAGGUGAUCUGCCCGCCUCAGCCUCCCAAAGUGCUGGGAUUACAGUCAUAACCCUUGCAGUUCAUUUCCUCUGUGUGGCCAUUUUCUGCCAAGAAAUCCAGCUUUAUAUCCAUUUGCGGGCAAAGGUAAGUCAAAACCAGCAAGGUGAUAAUUAUCGUUCCCUUCCCACCACUGUGUACCUGUGCAACUAGUCUGCAAAGAGGAACAUUGCCAAAUCCUAGGUCUGCGAUCAGUUGCCCAAUUUAAACCAAACUGUAUCCUGCAGGACAUAAAUUUCAUACCUCAGACUCAUACUCAAAGUGUUUUUCUGCUUCUUAUAUUGCUAGGGAAGGGAGGGAAAGUGACACAGGAAGCCAGAUGUGAGAGGACUAGAUUGACACCUGGGUCAUUAAAAGGCUUUUUUCCCUAAACCCCGCUUAAAUAGUGUUGGACUAUCACUCAGUACUAGCAGAAACAGUUUCCUUUUGCUUUUUUCUAAAACCAACUACUAAAUAAUGUUAGGGUAUCUUUGAAGCAAUAAUGUGUAAUCACUUACAGUUGUUUUGAAGGGAAUGUAUUUAAGAUUUAAAAAAAAAAGAAAGCCCAAAGGCAGAGAGCUUUAAAUAGUAGCCAUUUGGUAAUAAAUACCAUUACUUCCCUUUUCCAGCCUGCCCUACUCCCUCCCCCAUAACCCUUAACACAAAGCUUCAGAUUUAGUUUUGGAGAGAGUGAGUCUACAUUCACUUGAAGAAAAGUCUUCUUGUUUUUCAUUUGUUCUGUUGACUUCACUAUAUUUUAAAAUAUAAGUGUGUUGUGGAGAACAUACUGAAUUCUGAAUUACUAAGUUGCAUAUCCAUUUGCUGUAGAAGAGGAUUUCAGUCCAACAGUAAAAGAUUUUAGCUUGUCUCUAUAGCAGGGGUUCUUGAACCCUAAGACAGGUAAAGAUGAGAUGAGAGGUAGAGAAGAAACACACACAGAGAGGCUUGUGAUUCCUUGAGGGGCAAUACUACUCACAUCUCCUUUGUUUUUCUUGCAGACAUAGAGAAGGGAUGGUGAUGGUGAUGGAGGGUCUCCAGGGGAUUCACACGAGUUGUAGUGGCAUCUCACUAGGCAUUGGCAAGGGAAAACAUCCCACACACAUGCUUGGCAGGCCUGGGCGAAGCCAGCAAGGACAGUCUCUAAAGUACCCUCAGAUGGAAGUGUCCAUGGAGCAGUUGUGAUAUGGUUUGGAUGUGUCCCCACCCAAAUCUCAUCUUGAAUUGUAGUUCCCAUAAUCCCUGUGUGUCAUGGGAGGGACUUGGUGGGAGGUGAUUGGAUCAUGGGGGUGGUUACCCCCAUGCUGUUCUCAUGAUAGUGAGUGAAUUCUCAUGAGAUCUGAUGGUCUUAUGAGGAGCUUUUCCCCUUUUGCUCGCACUUCUGUCUCACCUGCCACUAUGUCAAGAAGCAUGUGCCUACUUUCCCUUCCACUAUGAUUGUAAGUUUCCUGAGGUCUCUCCAGUUAUGUGAAACUGUGAGUCAAUUAAAUCUCUUUCCCUUAUAAAUUACCCAGUCUCAGGCUGCUCUUUAUAGCAGCAUGAGAACAGACUAAUACAAGUUGUCAUCUAGACUAGUCUGCUCAAAGUUUUUCUUCAGUCAACUAGGUAUAGCCCUGAUUCCAGGUAGAAAUAGCCAGGAGGUUGACUUAAGGGGCAAGGUAUAGGGGCUAUCUUUUCUGCCCAGGUGGGAGUUCUACCUCUCUCUGGUACCUCAGGGGCAGCUCUCCCAGCUCCUCUGUACCCCAAGGCCCCCAAAUUGGCAGAUUGUUUUUUCUUAGUUCUCAGCAUCACAUUUCUUUAUUUCAUUUCCCAAGAUAUACUUCAAAUAUAGACAUUUAGAAAAGCGAAUGCUUCUCUGUGCAUCUUAAGGGAUUUUCAGAGGUGUGCUCAUACCCUUACGUCACUCACGCGCGCACACACACACACACUCACGCACACACACAGAGUUCUAUCUCUCUCUCUCUACCUACCUACCUACCUACCUACCUACCUACCUACCUGCCUGCCUGCCUAUUGAUCUACCUACCAUCUAUCAUCUCUCUAUUGUCUACUUUUAUAUAGGGAGAACCCUGGCAGUGGUUAGUCAAAAAUACUGCCAAGGUAGUAAAACGUGAAAAAUGAUAUAUAUACAUUACACAUCCAUCCAUCAGUCUUUUUAUGAAGGGAUAAGGGCUAUUCUACCUAUUGAGAAAUACAGCGUAGUUUUUCUUGCACAUACUUAUAAAUUAAUGGUCUAUAGUUUGCAGUUUUUGUUUCUUUCAAGUGAGGUGAGAGUGUAUAGAGAAUGUGCAAGUAGAAUCUUUCCAGAUAAGUGAUUCUCAAAUGUUGGCAUCUGGAUUUCUUAGCUUUAUCCCCAGAGUUUUAGGUUCAUUAGAUCUGGAGUGGGACCUGAGAAUUUGCAUUUCUCACAGGUUUUCAGAUGAUGCUGAUACUGCUGGCCCAGGGACCACUCUUUGAAAACCACCAUGGUAGAUUUUCAUUAUACUUUACAGAAAGCAAAUAUGUAGCAUUUUAUAGGGAGAAGAGAGAAUGUUGAUUAAUAAGAGAGUUAGGAGAAAGGUUGAGAAUGAAUAUAACUCUAUCCCUAUUUUAUACACUUAAUAUACAGCAAUCUUUGUUCACAUACAUUUUUUCCAGAACACUCUUAAAUCUCACAUAGGAUAUUGGUAAUGUGUUAUAAAUAGUUGACUUUGCAGGGGGUAAAAUGAUCUUUCGGGAAAUGAGAAUAUUCUUUAAAAUUUUUUCUCUCCACAAUGAUGGAAGUUAACUUCUCGGUGCUUCUUUACUUACCUGUAAUAGGCCUGAACACAAUUACAUCACAGAGCUCUCCAGAAGACAAAAGGAGAUAAUAUAUAGUAGUUUUUCUCAGAUAUUUUCACCAUGAUCUUUCAUGAUAGGUAGGCGAAGAAUUGGGAGAAACCCAAAGAACACAUUAGAGAACAAUUUUAUUGAGGUCUUCUCUUUUGUGUCUUAAAAAUAAAUCUAUAGCAGCCAAAAAAAGGAGAAUACAUAUUUUGCCUUUUUUAUCCAUCAAAGAUCCAUUUGUUUUCAUAUAAAAAUAUUUCAUACAACUUGACACUUAACCAUGUUUAUGUUUUGAUUUCUGCUAUGAAGAACAAGUACCUUAGUUUGAGAAACUUAGGAAAAUGCUUUUUAAACAGUAAUGCAUUACAUGAAGUUUUUCUAUUAUUAGAUUUUGUUUUAUUUUGGCAAACGUGAGAUACUCAUAAGCAGAUAUACAGGCUUUGACAUCUCAUGAACAGAUUCCUUAUGCUGAUGUUUGGAUUUUAAAUGAUCAGACAUAUGAUAAAGUCUUCUUCCCCCCAGAUAUUGUCUACAGUCUUAAAAAUUUGCUUCUAAAUUGUAUUUCAGAGCUACAACAAAAUCAAAGCCAUUUAAAGGGUGCAAUUGGCCCAUGGAUUUAUUUGUCUCUUAAUAAAGUAAUAGAUGGUGGGGGCAUGGGACUGUAAAUUUGUGAAACAGGUAGCUAAUGAUUUCUGUGUUACAUCAUUAUUAUAAUCACUAGCAUAUUCAAAAAUUUUAAAUGUAUAUCUUAUAUUUACACAUAUGUACUGUUUUAAUGCCAUUUCUAACUAAAGCAAGCUGAAAAAAUAUAUUCCCAUUUAUGGAUGACCCAUUUAACCAUUAUUUCUUGAACACUUAUAGUAUUAACAUUUAGCAAGUUUCCAUAAGGGAUGCAGAGAUAUCUAAGACCCAGUCCUCAAUUUCUGUCCAAUAAUGGUGGCUCACGCCUGUAAUCCCAGCCUUUUGGGAGGUCAAAGAGGGAGGAUUGCUUGAGCCUAGGAGUUCCAGACCAGCUAGGGCAAUAGAGCAAGACUUCCAUCUCAAAAAAAAAAAAAACAAAACAGAACAAAACAAAUCCUCAAUUUUGGGGAAUUUCAGGAAUUUUCCAUUUUGUCAAUUGACCAGAGAGGUGCUGCAGUUUUCCCACUUACAGGUAGUAGUCUACUUACGGUUAAUAAUCUUUGGCAGCAUGGACAAAAUAAUUAGCUGGGCAGCUGUGGAGUCAGACAGUGAAUCCCUGCUCAGCCACUCCUUAGGUAGAUGAUAUUGGGAAGAUUAUCUAAGUCCUUCUGCUUGUCAGUGUUUCAAUCAUAAAACAGCAUGGGGUCUUGUGAGAAGUGAAAAUAAUAUAUUUAAAGUAUGAAACUCAGUGAUCAACACUUAGGUCUUCCAUCUCUGCUUCUUCCUACUUUCUUAUCUACUAGCUUGAGUGCGUGUGCUGGUCUGAUCCCAAGACUGCUGGGCAUGUGAAGAUGUCUGCCUUGGUUCAGGCCCGGAUCACCAUUCAGGGAGCUGUGACCAUGAGGGCAGGGGUUGCAUAAAUUGUCAAGGAAGAAUUGCCCGUGGUGGUUCUUGUGAGAAGAGAGCAAUGGACUUAUCUCCCAUUUAUGGUGCCACACCCUGCCCUGCUCACCAGUGAAAACUGAAAAGAGAAGAUGGUCCACUUGUAGUAGAACUGUAGGUUAACUUUAUGAUUUACCUACGGACAUAACAAUAGUUUUACACUAGAGUUGGAAAUCCACAGUAAGACUUUUUCCCUUAUGAAAUUUCUACUUUGGAUAUUAGAAAUGUUUCUCUAUAAGAGAAAGCAAAGCAUUAAACUAAAUUUCUUUUAAUUUUUGAAAGACUCCAAAAGGCAGAUGGGUAAUUGACAUAUGCUUAGGAAGAGUUUAUAUAUACAAUUGUUUUGGGAAAAAAAUGUCAAUCUGAAGUGCUAAUACUACACUUAAAGACAUAUAAAUUAUGCAUUAACCCAUAAAGAUUAUAUUCUCAAUGGCAGCUCC